rnacentral:misc_RNA from 1 species
GCAACGAGCGCAACCCACGUCUUUAGUUGCCAGCAUUAAGUUGGGCACUCUAGAGAGACUGCCGGUGAUAAACCGGAGGAAGGUGUGGAUGACGUCAAGUCAUCAUGCCCCUUACAUCCUGGGCUACACACGUACUACAAUGCUACGGACAAAGGGCAGCAAACUCGCGAGAGCUAGCAAAUCCCAUAAACCGUGGCUCAGUUCAGAUCGUAGGCUGCAACUCGCCUACGUGAAGGAGGAAUCGCUAGUAAUCGCAGGUCAGCAUACUGCGGUGAAUACGUUCCCGGGCCUUGUACACACCGCCCGUCACACCAUGGAAGUUGGCCACGCCCGAAGUCGUUACUCCAACCCGCAAGGGAGGAGGAUGCCGAAGGUGGGGCUGAUGACUGGGGUGAAGUCGUAACAAGGUAGCCGUACCGGAAGGUGCGGCUGGAUCACCUCCUAACAGGGAUACAAUAACUAAUCGUGAUGUCUGAGUAAUUUAUUCUCAGGCCAUGAUUCUGUCAUCUCUAAGGUCGAUCGGUACCUCAAUUUGAGAAGCAGUGAAGGGUUGGGCAACCAACCUGGAGAUUGGUGAAUCAAUUUCAGUUCCUAAACUUUGUCUAGGUCACCCCAAAGCGGGUUACACUCCUGGGCCAUUAGCUCAGGUGGUUAGAGCGCACCCCUGAUAAGGGUGAGGUCCCUGGUUCAAGUCCAGGAUGGCCCAUUCGCGUUUGGGGGUUUAGCUCAGUUGGUAGAGCGCCUGCUUUGCAAGCAGGAUGUCAGCGGUUCGAGUCCGCUAACCUCCAUCCAAUGUUUGCUCAGCCUUCAAGCCAAACCAGUUAUGCCAUUGCAUAGAAACUAAGUGUGCCGCAGAGCACUAUAGCAGGGAACUACAGCAUGGCAGCGUAGCAGGGGAGUGCAGCCGUGUAGGUGAUCUGGAAAAUUUGCUGUUGAUUUCAGCUUCUUUCCAUCGAUAGGAUGGAAGGACGCUGGAUUCAUAAUUGCCCCUUAAAUGGGGCAGUGUGUGUUUCAGCAGAACCUUGACAACUGUAUAGGAAAGUCUGGAAAUAAAGCAUCUCAUGGAUGCUUGAUUUUUAGCCCGAUCGCUGGUUCAGCAAUGGACUGGAGGAGGGAGAAGAAUCAAGAAAAUUCUAUUGAGUUUUAAGAGCCGAGAGCUUUCAGUUUUCUUACCUGUCCGCCGAGGACAAGUGAGUUUGAUCCUGGCAUUCAAACCGCAUUAGUUUCCAUAAGUAAUUAUGGAGUCUGGUGUAGGUGAAUCCAGCGAGAAUCGGCCUCAACAGCCGCGCGUAGCUCGAGAAAUCGAAGCUGCCAAGAACUGGAAGUAUAAAUUGGUCAAGCUACAAAGGG